AUUGAACGCUGGCGGCAGGCCUAACACAUGCAAGUCGAGCGAGCGGCGGACGGGUGAGUAAUGUAUGGGGACCUGCCCGAUAGAGGGGGAUAACUGCUGGAGACGGUAGCUAAUACCGCAUACUAUCGGAUGUACCCAUAUGGGAUUAGCUAGUGGGUGGGGUAAAGGCUCACCAAGGCGACGAUCCCUAGCUGGUCUGAGAGGAUGAUCAGCCACACUGGGACUGAGACACGGCCCAGACUCCUACGGGAGGCAGCAGUGGGGAAUAUUGGACAAGGGGCGAAAGCCUGAUGCAGCCAUGCCGCGUGUGUGAAGAAGGCCUUAGGAUUGUAAAGUACUUUAAGUCGGGAGGCGUUACCUACAGAAGAAGCACCGGCUAACUCCGUGCCAGCAGCCGCGGUAAUUC
rnacentral:rRNA from 1 species